UACGGAGGGUGCAAGCGUUAAUCGGAAUUACUGGGCGUAAAGCGCACGCAGGCGGUCUGUCAAGUCGGAUGUGAAAUCCCCGGGCUCAACCUGGGAACUGCAUUCGAAACUGGCAGGCUAGAGUACGGUAGAGGGUGGUGGAAUUUCCUGUGUAGCGGUGAAAUGCGUAGAUAUAGGAGGAACACCCGUGGCGAAGGCGGCCACCUGGACCAGUACUGACACUGAGGCACGAAAGCGUGGGGAGCAAACAGG
rnacentral:rRNA from 1 species